rnacentral:rRNA from 1 species
AGUUCUUCGGAACUAGAGACCGGCGCACGGGUGCGUAACGCGUAUGCAAUCUACCUUUUACAGAGGGAUAGCCCAGAGAAAUUUGGAUUAAUACCUCAUAGUAUGUGAGAAUCGCAUGGUUUUCACAUUAAAGUUCCAACGGUAAAAGAUGAGCAUGCGUCCCAUUAGCUAGAUGGUAAGGUAACGGCUUACCAUGGCGACGAUGGGUAGGGGUCCUGAGAGGGAGAUCCCCCACACUGGUACUGAGACACGGACCAGACUCCUACGGGAGGCAGCAGUGAGGAAUAUUGGACAAUGGGCGCAAGCCUGAUCCAGCCAUGCCGCGUGCAGGAUGACGGUCCUAUGGAUUGUAAACUGCUUUUGUACAGGAAGAAACACUCCCUCGUGAGGGAGCUUGACGGUACUGUAAGAAUAAGGAUCGGCUAACUCCGUGCCAGCAGCCGCGGUAAUACGGAGGAUCCAAGCGUUAUCCGGAAUCAUUGGGUUUAAAGGGUCCGUAGGCGGUUUAAUAAGUCAGUGGUGAAAGCCCAUCGCUCAACGGUGGAACGGCCAUUGAUACUGUUAAACUUGAAUUAUUAGGAAGUAACUAGAAUAUGUAGUGUAGCGGUGAAAUGCUUAGAGAUUACAUGGAAUACCAAUUGCGAAGGCAGGUUACUACUAAUGGAUUGACGCUGAUGGACGAAAGCGUGGGUAGCGAACAGGAUUAGAUACCCUGGUAGUCCACGCCGUAAACGAUGGAUACUAGCUGUUGGGAGCAAUCUCAGUGGCUAAGCGAAAGUGAUAAGUAUCCCACCUGGGGAGUACGUUCGCAAGAAUGAAACUCAAAGGAAUUGACGGGGGCCCGCACAAGCGGUGGAGCAUGUGGUUUAAUUCGAUGAUACGCGAGGAACCUUACCAAGGCUUAAAUGUAG